UUUGGGGUUGCUGUUGGAAUAACAACCUUUAAGUUUGGGGUAGUUGUGCAGUAGUACAAAAAGGUGAGUGCACCUGAAAAAAAGAAAAAAAUGAAAAAGAAGCCUAAAAAGAUCUUAAUGAAAGAAAAGAAAGAAUAAAUUUAUACACAUGAACACUCACCAAAAAAAGAACUCAAUUGAAAAAUUGAGAAGUCUAACCACUUAACCAAAGAAAGCCGUAUUUAAGGAAUUCAAGCAGUGAUACUUUGGAGUGAUCAAAGUGAAAAAAAUGAUGGAAAUACUUUGAACCCUUAUCCCAUUUAUCCAUAUAUUAUGCCACAUUAGCCCUAGCCCC
rnacentral:lncRNA from 1 species